rnacentral:snRNA from 1 species
UAGUGUUCCUGUCAGGGGAGACACCAUGAUCAAUCAGGUGGUUUUCCCAGGGCAGGUGAUUGUCUCUGAUAUGUCCUCCAUCGGAGGUCUAUAUUGAGCAGAUUCUUUUUGGUGUUGGGUGGUGGAACCGGAGCGUGCUCCAUCCACUC